AGAGUUUGAUCCUGGCUCAGAUUGAACGCUGGCGGCAUGCUUUACACAUGCAAGUCGAACGGCAGCACGGGGGCAACCCUGGUGGCGAGUGGCGAACGGGUGAGUAAUACAUCGGAACGUAUCCUUGAGUGGGGGAUAACGCAGCGAAAGUUGUGCUAAUACCGCAUGAGCUCUGAGGAGGAAAGUGGGGGACCGUAAGGCCUCACGCUGAAGGGGCGGCCGAUGUCCGAUUAGCUAGUUGGUGAGGUAAAGGCUCACCAAGGCUUCGAUCGGUAGCUGGUCUGAGAGGAUGAUCAGCCACACUGGGACUGAGACACGGCCCACACUCCUACGGGAGGCAGCAGUGGGGAAUUUUGGACAAUGGGGGCAACCCUGAUCCACCCAUGCCGCGUGAGUGAAGAAGGCCUUCGGGUUGUAAAGCUCUUUCGUGAGGGAAGAAACGGCCAUAGUGAAUAGCUGUGGUUACUGACGGUACCUCAAGAAGAAGCACCGGCUAACUACGUGCCAGCCGCCGCGGU
rnacentral:rRNA from 1 species